AGUGAACGCUGGCGGUAGGCCUAACACAUGCAAGUCGAACGGCAGCACAGUAAGAGCUUGCUCUUACGGGUGGCGAGUGGCGGACGGGUGAGGAAUAAAUCGGAAUCUACUUUUUCGUGGGGGAUAACGUAGGGAAGCUUACGCUAAUACCGCAUACGACCUACGGGUGAAAGCAGGGGAUCUUCGGACCUUGCGCGAUUGAAUGAGCCGAUGUCGGAUUAGCUAGUUGGCGGGGUAAAGGCCCACCAAGGCGACGAUCCGUAGCUGGUCUGAGAGGAUGAUCAGCCACACUGGAACUGAGACACGGUCCAGACUCCUACGGGAGGCAGCAGUGGGGAAUAUUGGACAAUGGGCGCAAGCCUGAUCCAGCCAUACCGCGUGGGUGAAGAAGGCCUUCGGGUUGUAAAGCCCUUUUGUUGGGAAAGAAAAGCAGCAGGUUAAUACCCCGCUGUUCUGACGGUACCCAAAGAAUAAGCACCGGCUAACUUCGUG
rnacentral:rRNA from 1 species